ACCUGCCCAGUGAGAUUUUUUUUUAACGGCUGCAGUAUUUUGACUGUACAAAGGUAGCAUAAUAAAUAGUUUUUUAAUUGAAAGCUAGAAUGAAUGGUUGGAUGAGAUGUUAACUUUUUUAAUUUAAAAAAAAAAAAUAAUGAAUUUUACUUCUUAUUAAAAAGGAUAAGAUAAAUUUAAAAGACGAGAAGACCCUAUAGAGUUUUAUAUUAAUAUAAUAACUUUAAAUAAGUGAUAAAUGAUAACUAGGGUUGGAUUAUAUUAUUAUUUUGUUGGGGUGAUAGAAAAAAACGAUUAACUUUUUCAUGAGAUAAAUUUUUAUUUUAAACCAUUAAUGCAUGAUUUUUUGAUCCAGUAAUAUUGAUUAAAAAAAUAAAUUACCUUAGGGAUAACAGCGUAAUUUUAUUUUUAAGUUCAAAUUUUUAAUAAUUUUUGCGACCUCGAUGUUGGAUUAAGAAUAUUUUUGGGUGCAGAAGUUUAAAAAAAUAAGU
rnacentral:rRNA from 1 species